rnacentral:rRNA from 1 species
UACGAAGGGGGCUAGCGUUGCUCGGAAUCACUGGGCGUAAAGCGCACGUAGGCGGCUUCUUAAGUCAGGGGUGAAAUCCUGGAGCUCAACUCCAGAACUGCCUUUGAUACUGGCGAUCUUGAGUUCGGGAGAGGUGAGUGGAACUGCGAGUGUAGAGGUGAAAUUCGUAGAUAUUCGCAAGAACACCAGUGGCGAAGGCGGCUCACUGGCCCGAUACUGACGCUGAGGUGCGAAAGCGUGGGGAGCAAACAGG